GCCGGGGCAGCCGCGCCGGGGAGCGGCCGGAGCCGCCCGGAGCAGCCGGCGGAGGUCCCGGCUCGGAGCUCUCCGGUGCCGGCUCCUGGAGGGGCGGCUGGGGACAGUCCGCCUGCCCGUGCUUCACCUCCUGGCGCAGGGCAGAGCCAGCUGCCCGCCUUCUGUCUCCCCCAGGCUGUGACAGCAGUGCCGAGCAGCCGCUUCCCCCAGCCCCGUUAAAGCCAUCCUGCUGGGAAAGCCACGGGAAUUGGGCAGAGCAACGGGGGCAGACUCGCACCUCCUCAAAUGGCUGUGGUGGAAGCUGCGAACCACAAAUCUGAAAGAGUCAGGGACACCGAUCCAGUAUAUACUGGUAUACUGGCCAGUAUCAGCUCUAUCUAUUCUGUUUCAUGUGCUAACAUGGAUGACUGGGACAACAACAACGAAUUCAUUCAGCGACUGGACUUUUCCAGCUGUGGUGAAGAGAGUGAAGAAAGAAGCGUCAAUGAGGAGGAUUCCCUGAGCUUGAGCCCCCCAAGAAGCUCAGAGUUCCAGAAAUGGCAAGAGAGCAGUCCUUUGCCAGCAACCCCUCAGAGAAAGCUUAGUGAGAUUUUCCUGAGCAGAACAAAAGCUUGGAUGAGUCCCACCCUGAAGUCUUCCCCAUCUGUGAGCAAGAGCUGGAGUAAACCUGAGACACCACUGCACAUCACCUGGAAAAAGCUGCAGCUUUGUGACACCCCACACACUCCUAAGAGCUUGUUAUCGAAGACAGCUUUUCCUUCCUCUGCAACAAAGGUCCCAGCCAAAGGCCUCCGACAUCUGAGACUCACUCCUCGUGCUGACUCUGAUGACUCUUCCCAAGCUUCCCUUGUCAACAUUAAUCCCUUUACACCAGAGUCCUAUCGACAAAUGCUCUUUCAUCCUAAUGGCAAACGGAAGGCUGGAGGAGAGCUGAAUGAUCCUCAUACAGGAAGCCGGAUAAAACAGGAGCAACCUACAAAGAGAUAUACUCUGAAAGCCAGCAAUAUGGUUUCCCGCUACAAGAAGGAGUUCCUGGAGCUAGAGAAAAUUGGUGUGGGGGAAUUUGGCUCUGUCUACAAGUGCAUCAAACGCCUUGAUGGAUGUGUUUAUGCCAUCAAACGCUCCAAAAGGCCUCUGGCAGGAUCCUCAGAUGAGCAGCUGGCACUACGAGAGGUUUAUGCUCACGCUGUCCUGGGGCACCACCCCCACGUUGUGCGCUACUACUCGGCCUGGGCAGAGGACGAUCACAUGAUUAUCCAGAAUGAACACUGCAAUGGUGGAAGUCUCCAAGAUGCGCUGCUGGAAAAUGCAAAGCUUGGGCAGUAUUUCCCAGAAGCAGAGCUGAAGGAAAUAUUGCUGCAAGUCUCCAUGGGACUAAAAUACAUCCACAACUCUGGCCUUGUGCACCUGGAUAUCAAACCUAGUAAUAUCUUCAUCUGUCACAAGCUGGCAGUUUCAGGCCCUGCUGGGCAGGAGGAGAGUGACAGUGAAGAUGAAUUCUCUCCUGGUGUGGUGUAUAAGAUUGGUGACCUUGGACAUGUGACAUCAAUAACAAACCCUCAGGUGGAGGAAGGAGACAGACGCUUUUUGGCCAAUGAGGUUUUGCAAGAGCAAUACUGCUACUUGCCCAAGGCAGACAUCUUUGCCCUGGCACUCACGGUGGCUCUGGCAGCUGGGACAGCACCGCUGCCUCACAAUGGGGUCCUGUGGCACCACAUCCGCAAAGGCAACCUCCCACCCAUCCCCCAGAAGCUUCCCCACCGUUUUCUUGAGCUCCUUAAGCUCAUGAUCCAUCCUGACCCAGCACAAAGACCUUCUGCCACGGCUCUCACCAAACACCCUGUUCUCCGUCCUUCGUGUGGAAAAGCUGUGCAGCUCCAGGAGCAGCUAAAUAUGGAGAAAUGCAAGACUGCCAUGCUGGAAAGGGAACUUAAAGCAGCUCGCCUUGCCCAGACCCUCAUGAAGGACCAAGCCUUAGGAAGUGCCAAGUUACAAGAGUCUGAAACCUCUUCUAAGCAGAAGAGCAAGCGUCUGGUGGGAGGGAAGAGCUGUCGCUCGUUUAGCUUUACUCUGGGUUUCUGAAUUUGUGUUAUCCAAAGACUGCUGAAUGGCCCUGUGAAAGCAGAGGGUCUGCACAGACCAAUGCCCCAUAUUCUCUCCCUGUCUUUUUUUUUUUUUUUUUGUUCCCCUGUUAGUUAUGAUGAGAUGUUGGCUGAGAAAAGAAUGACUGGCUUUCAAGUGUUGGAUAAUGGUAUUUAAGGUUGUCUUCAGUCUUUUACCUGUUUAAUUUAUUGUGUAAUUGGCUUUGCUAUAGACUCAGUGUAACUCUGCCAUGACAAAAGAAUGACAUUUUCAUUCUCACUUCCCUCUUUCUUUAGUUGGGCCCUGUUAUUGGUGAUUUUGUGGUCUUAAACACUUGGGCUGACUGUAUCUUUAGAGGGAUGAUAAUGGCUGUACAGGCAGACAACAUCUACAGCUGGCCCCUUCUAGGAGCCAGUUUUAGCUACACAUCAGGAGCCAGGCUGGUUACACAGCUGUCCUGGGGGGCUCAGGAUGCAGCUGGAGUGGUGUUUAACUGAGGGGGGACACAGAGUAAUAGGAAAUACUUCGAGUUAAGGAGUGGGAGUUGAAGAAAACAUUUUUUCAUAUUUCAGCAACAAAAGUUUUCUAACUGGGUGUGCUCUAACAGACUCGUUAGUCCCUGAUGCCCGACUCAUUUUCUGUCAGUCGGGGAGGACUCCUUGUUUAUGUGGGGGAGACAACUGCAGUGUGUUGGUGCUGGGUCUGUCUGUACCCAUUUCCCCUCCAGUAUCUUGCACGUGGUGCAGCUGCCUGCCUAUGAACUGCAGCCUUUCAGCAAAGAUGAGGGCAAUGAGAAAGGGCUUUUUCAGCUUUUUGGAGUUGCCCGUGUUAACGGUGGUAUGUAUUUCGUAUUUGAAAUCUCAUACAUCCUUCCCCCUCCCCCCGCUAAAUGUAACUUUGGGGGUCCUUGUCGUUUGUUUGUGUUGUUGGACAGAGCACCGCCUUGUUACGACGGAGACCGCUUGCUCACUCGCUUAUUUCCAGGUUUUACUGGUUGGUUUUAUGAUGUUGCACGUGCUGGCUUUUAACUGUUAGAUCCUAUCGUUUCGUGCGAAUAAAAGUUUUAUCAUUUUUUAAACCGAUGACGGAGUGAUGGAGUUCUGUUGGCCAUUUUUGUCCCUCCGCGAGCUCUGUGACCCCCGUGGGCUCGGGGCUCGGGCUAUGCGGGGUGCAGGCGGGGCCCGGGCGCGUUUCCGCCCGGAACCUCCGCCCGGCCCUUUCCUCUUCCGGCCGGCCGCGGGCGCAGCGCGGCGGCGGGAGAGGUGCUACGCCAGUUUGUAAGACAUGACUCUGAUACGGUUAACUCAUUGG